UACGUAGGGCGCAAGCGUUGUCCGGAAUUAUUGGGCGUAAAGAGCUCGUAGGCGGUUUGUCGCGUCUGCUGUGAAAACCUAAGGCUCAACCUUGGGCUUGCAGUGGGUACGGGCAGACUAGAGUGCGGUAGGGGUGACUGGAAUUCCUGGUGUAGCGGUGGAAUGCGCAGAUAUCAGGGAGGAACACCCGAGUGGCGAAGGCAGGU
rnacentral:rRNA from 1 species